rnacentral:lncRNA from 1 species
AACCGCCCGAUGGGCCUGGUCAGGAGGAUCCUCUCCAUCUGUUCAGGAGAGGAUCCUAAUCCGUGUAAAAUCAUCAAACCUGCUGUUUUGUACAAGUGACAAGAUUCUAGUUGGAAAACAAUAUCAAUGUGGUUAAAAGUGAGUUUGUGGCCCGUCUCUCUCUAAGUUUCUGACAACUAUUAAUAAGUUCUAGCACUACAAGAAACUGACAACAGCCUUAGUUGCAGAGAAUGAGGUGGAUAACAACCUAUUAGUAGGUAAUGGGAUUAUUAGUCACUAAUAAGCUUUUUUAUCUCUACUAAUUAAUAAAACCCUCUUUGCCAACCAAAGUGGGUGAAAUGACAAAUUAAUCUUCCACACAAAAAAAAUGAUGUUAAAAUACCUCCAAUAUUAUAAAAAAUAAAAAAAAAUUAAAAAAAAAGCCUCAACAUUCUCUCUCUCCUUAUCAUUUUCUAAAAAAAUGUAUUCAUACAUACAAAGUGUGUAAGCAAAUGCUAGUAAGUCUUUCAUAUAAAAAUGUAGUUAAACACAUUAUUUCUUUGUUUCAGUCCUUUAACUUUGCCAGGACAAAAAAUGGUGUGUUCCUUGUUGAUGCACACUCAACAUGUAAAAGCUCUUUGCUCGUACCCAUCCUUGUUUCAGUCCUUUGAACUUUAUUAUUUGAACUUGUAAAAAAUGUCGAUUCUUUGUUGAUGUACUCUGACCCUCUUCUUUUGCAUUUCGCCCACUAAUUAAACAAAAGAGUACCUAUAUAUUCUUUUUGUUCACUUCUCUCCCCCUUUUGGUCUCUACUCAUUAACUCAGUUAAUUAGCUUAAUUAAGGUCUAUUUUGUACAUGUUUGGAUGGACUUUUAGUGACCUUUAUAAUUACGGCUGGUCGGUGGUACCCGGUAGUAUAUCUUUUUUUUUUUUAAUACUAAAACGAUAGGAACCCUAGCCUUUUUUCCAUACCCGUAUUAUUUCUUAAUUUAUCACUCAAAGUAAUUUGCUUAAUUUAUCACUCAGUAUGAUCCAGUAUAUAAUAAGAAAGCUCUAAUUAACUGGGGCACAAGGCAAACAUGUUUAAUAUUUUAAUCAGAGGUAGAUAUCUCAUAUCUCACUGUAGCUAACACGGCCGGAUUGUGUUGAAAUCCCACAUCCAAGAUUGAGUAAAGAUAUUGGAUUCGAUAUUUAUAUGUUUAUUGCCUUUCCUUGUCAUCUUUGUGGAGUGAGAAAGUGAAGGGCAUAAUUCCCAUCGCAUCAUCAAAAAAGGCUUUACGUGCGUGGAGUCAACUUUAGCUAUGAGAGCGACCAACAACAUGUGAGAAAUUCCUGCACCAGUUAGUGAUCGAUCAGAGUAAAGUGAAGGGACAAAAGCCACAAAUUACUAGCACGAGGACCGCGUGAGAGCAUUUCAUACCACCAUUUCCAUGGAAAAAGAAGGAGAAAAAGAAAAUUUGAUUUCGUACUCACUAGUUCGCUUAUUUUACAAAGACGUGUGUACCUAACGCGUACCGUCUUAUAAAAUAAGGGAGAGUAUCUUCUAGGAUAGAGUAAAACUAGGUAUUAGUACUAAUAUACGUUUAUAAUGUGUGAAUUUAUAAAUCUUAUAUAAUGUGACUAACAUAUGUGUUAUAAUGUGUGGAUUAGUAAAACUACAUAUUAUAGUGUUACUGUCAUGCACAAGAAUUUCUCAUACAUUUUGAUCUAAAAUCAUAAUAUAAUUCAAGAUUCAGAAAUUAGAAAACUAGAUUUUAAUCCUUAAAUAAGAUGAAAUUUAGAAAAAUGUCUCAUACAAGAUUAAAAUUUGAUUUUAGUCUCUAGACUCUAUUUAAUGUCAACAUAUGCAUUCAAUGUCUUUUUUUAUUUAUAAUUUUAUGGUGUCCUUGAAUUAAAUUAUAUGAAAAAUAUUGUAAAUUUUAUUACUGAUUUGAAUUCAAAAGAAUUAGCUUUUAUUUGUUGACAUUUUGCAUCUCCAAUUUAUGGUAAGUAUCUUAUACAAGAAAAUAUUUUUGAUAAAGACUUUUUGGUUCACUUAUUUUUUACAUAUUUUCUUAUGUGCCACUAGUUUAUUACAAUAUUUAGGUACGGACAUUUUCAGUACACUAGUAUAAUAUAGUAUGUUUAGGUACGGAUAUUUUGGUACACUAGUUUGUUAUAAUUUAUUUAGAUACAGACAUUUCAGUACACUAGUUUAGUAUAAUAUGUUUACAUACGGACUCUUCAAUACACUUAUGUUUUUGCAUAUUUUCUUAUGUGCUACUAAUUCAUUUUAGGAGUAAUUAGGUUUUCAUCCUUAUUUUUACUACUCUAUUGAUUAAAACCUUAUUACUUUUCAAUUUUUGAUCAAGGUCCUUUGUAUUAAUAAUAUCAUUAAUUAUUUCAAUAAUAAAAUAUUUUUUAUUUCUAAAUAUAUUCAUUUAAUAUUAAAAAUAUUACAAUUAGUAUAUUUAUAUUUAUGGCUAAAUUUUUUAUCAUAUAUUUUUAUUUUUAGUUUGUACCCAUUUUUAAUUUGCAACCCUUUUUUAAUUUGUACCAAUUUUCCUUUCAGUUUUAAUUUGUACCCAUAUAUUAAUUUCUUUUUGUGCCCAUAUUUUUUAAAGUUUUAUUUGUAUUGUACCCAUAUUUUUUUAUUUAUUUACCCAUUUUUAUUUUUGCUAAAUGUACCCAUUUUGAAGAAUGUAUCCAUGUUUUGAUACAAUAAUUUUUUGGUUAUUUUUUAUGAAUGUACCCAUGUUUACACACACACACACACAAUAGUAUAUUUAUAUUUUAAUAUUUUUAAUCCCACAAAUUAUGGUUUUUUAUUUAAAAUCUCAUUACUAUAAACAACUAUAAAUUUUAAUUUUUAAUUUAAAAAAUAUAGUAACGUACAUAGAAAUAAAUUAUCAAUUAAUUUCAGGGACUUGGAUCAAAAAUUGAAAACCAACAAGGUUUCAGUCAAAGACUAUUCAUAACUAGGGACCGCAUCCAAAGUCUCCCUUCAUUUUAAUAUAUUUAGGUACGCACGUUUCAGUACACUAGCUCAAUAAAAUAUAUUAUGGUACGAAUGUUUAGGUACAUUAAUUAGAGAAAUUAAAAAAAUUUAAUGUCACUCCCCGAUCCCGACAUUCGUCUAGGAUCAACACGUGACGUCACCAAUUGCAUGUAUAUCUAGCAUACCUCACCUUUGGGAUAUGUACAAAGCACAACUAACGAUCCAACUGCAUAGUAAUUUUUUUUGUACACUUUAUGGCUACAUCUAACCUCCUUGUUAGACUGCCUACGUACCCUAAACAGGGAUCAAGGCAUUCGUAGUUCGUCAUUCGUCGAACUCUAAUCUUUUCGUAAAAUUCUUCUAGCAGAAAUCAUGGAGUACCACACUACACAUCAACCUUACACCAAACAAUAAGGUAAGCCAUCUUCACACAUAUGCUUCCCAAUUCAUACAUCAUAUAAAUCACUAUAUUUCACAUAAUACCUCAAUUCAUGGUAUGCAACAUCUCAAAGAACAGUCAACAAAGCACAAUGUUAUUCUCUAGCCACAUUGGUUAACAAGUCUAAUUAUAAUGACAACAAUCACAACCAACAUCAAUCAAUAACACAUAUCAUAGAAACAAAUCCAGGGCUAGCGACACAGUUCGACUGAAGCCUACAUCUCUGAAGCUGAAAUCAAAUCCAAGGAACCAACACGUCACAUGGAUACAAUUCUGAACCAUCACUCAAUGGAAUUGCAGAGUAGAAGGGAUUCCGGACCAUCACUCAUCGGAAUGGCGGAGUAGAAGGGAUUCUGGACCAUCACUCAACCGAAUCGCGGAGUAGAAGGGAUUCUAGACCAUCACUCAACGAAAUCCAUGUGGAUAUAGUACCUACCGAAUGUACCAGGUAUAUCUAAACUGCAUCAUCCCUAUAAAUUACAACGUAAUCACAUACAUAAUACUUCUAAUAAGAUUCCAGGUUCACAUCAUCAUAAAAACAAUCAUACAUGUCAUACAAACCACAUUUCAUAAACGUUUCCAAGCUAUAGUCGAAUCACAAUUAAUAAACCUAGAUCGAUGGCUAAGAAUAAAAAUAACAAUUUAAUAGAAAUCACAUUUAAUAAACAAGUAUAACUCAAUAUGGCGCCAUUAGUACAUAAAACGAGACACACGUCAUCACGAUAAGCCCAUUAAGCUCCAUGAAAUCUCAACAGCACUCUAAGCUAAAUGACAUGCUAGAAUAAUUCGGCUAGUUGACUAAAAUGUCAACUGUCAAUCAAGGUAGAGGGUUGGGUCCACAACCCUAGUAAUCUAAUCCGGAAGAUUCGCCUAUCAGAUUUAUGAUCCGUAAAUUCCCAAGGGUCUUUUUAAUUUCCUAGAACAAUAUCUUAAAAUUUCGGAAGGAUCCAACAAUCAGAUCUCCGCCAAUUGCUAAAAUUACGUGGCGCCACCGUUUAAUUUUACAACUUAGGAAAUCAAUCCAAGAAAAUCUGUAAGCAAGAUUCCUAAUCCGUGAGUUCCUAAUAUCCUUAAAUAUUAUGUACUAUUACGUAUUUAAGUUUGGUGCUGAUCCAACGGUCGGAUUGUCAAUUCAUAUAAUGCCCAAGUGGCGGUCUCUAUCAAAACUAAAGUCAUAUGAUGAGAUUUCAUCAAUCAAACAUCACAUAUGGAAUCAGGGUAUCCAAAUCAGUGUAGGAAGGGUAGGUGGGGUCUCAGCCCAUGCCCCGCCACACGGGGCGGCCGACCGUCCCGACUUGCUGGAAAAUUCAACUAUUUCAAAAAAUUACCAAAUUUUACAAGCAUAUAGAUCUCAAUGAGAGGAGAAAUUUUCAUACCUGGCGAAAGUCCAAUUCUGCAGUGAAACGCCUGAAAUCAGUCUUCAUCCGCGGGAACCCUAGAAUUGGGUGUUCCUUGAUUCGUCCUCAAAUCGACUCCGACGUUCCAACCAAUGAUUGGGCAUUGUUCCCGAGCUCAAGGGAGAUAUUUUGAUGGUGAAGAUCAAUGGGGAGGGUUGUAGAAAAAGGUGAAUCGGCUCUGGGUGCCCUCGAAGCUAACGACUUCUGUUCUACCAAAUCUGAGCCCAACAACUCCAUUUUUUGGAUGAGAAUUAAAGGUGAGACAAUGAUGAGACAUUUCCAGAUGGUGGCUUGGCUUAGUUCGCUGGCAUUUGGCCGGAGGAACCAACGGUUCCAUUGUUUCCGAUCGAGUCGGGUCGUAAAGAUCCAGGUAAGGGAUUCAUGAUCCCUUGCUUCUCUCCCCUUUCCCUUCCUUCUUUUCUUCUUUCUCCAUUAGUCACCCUCCUUUCUCUCUCCUUUCCUAAUUUGGCCCCCCUCUCUCCUCUCUUCCCCC